AAUCAAGCGCAAAAGGGCAUUUAGUGGAUGUCUUGGCAUUAAGAGGCGAUGAAGGACGCGGCAGGCUGCGAUAAUCUAAGGGGAGUUGUCAACACACUUUGAUCCUUAGGUCUCCGAAUGGGGAAACCCAACUCUUUAGAGUUAUUUAUUAAUGAAUACAUAGUUAAUAAAAGUAAACCUAGUGAAUUGAAAUAUCUUAGUAGCUAGAGGAAAAGAAAUCUAUUCCGUUAGUAGUGACGAGCGAACGCGGACCAGGCCAGUAACAAAUUUAUAAUAACUAGAACUUUCUGGAAAGUAAGACCAUAGUGGGUGAUAGUC
rnacentral:rRNA from 1 species